UGAAAAGGUUGUGAAUCAUUGAAUAAAUAUGUUACAUUAGGAGAUGAUUAUAUUUAUAAAUAUCAAAUUUCAUUGUUCUGGAAUAAACUCUAGUUGUACACAAAAUAAUGUACACGAGAGCCAUAUUAACAUGGAAGUCACUCAAAAAAGUAUGUGAUGUUUGAGUCUCCCUCUUACUAUUUCCUUAUUAUAGAAGCCAGGAUUCUCUCUCUGAGGAACCCCCAGAAACACUGGGUGGCAGGAUAUAGAAGUAUAAGCCACUAGGAGAGGGCCACUGUUUUUUAAAAAAGGACUCUUUCCAGCAGUGCUUUGUACGUCAUUGUCAGAGGUAAAAAUAACAUGGAAAGCCUGAUGAUCUAUUCUAGCAGAUGAGAGGCAGCAUGCAUGGAGUGAUGAUACAAAGAAUUUUGAGCUGGAAACCAGCAUUGCUACCUGGAAGAUAGAAUAGGAAAUGAAAAGAUACUUUUAAGGAAAGUAAGAUAGGCCAGCAGAAAUGUUACUGGAAUUCAGCAUUACAGGACUGAGUUCUGCUUUAUGGGAUUUGAUUAUUUCUAGUUGGAAUUUUUCUAUGCUGCCCUAUUGGAGGGAUGGUAAUUUACUCAGAAAUAUAGGAAGGGGAAGGUAUGUUUGCUGAGCAGAACUGGAGGCUCUCACCUGGACCAUCCCAUUGGACUCUACGUCAAUUCUGUGAUGAGAUGAUGAGAUAUGAACGUGAAGAACGUGUGGGUUUAAAAACCUCACAUAAAACUUCCAUCAAAUUGUUAGAUUAAAAAGGAGGGAGAAAUCAUAAUACCCCCCCCUUUUUUUAAUCUUCGUAGGGACACACCCUCGGCAUAUGGAGGUUCCCAGGCCAGGGGUCCAAUCAUGGAUUAAGGAUCCGGCGUUGCCAUGAACUGUGGUGUAGGUCGCAGACGUGGCUCGGAUCCCAUGUUGCUGGCUGUGGCGUAGGCUGGCAUCUACAGCUCUGAUUGGACCCCUAGCCUGGGAACGUCCACAUGCCAUGGGUGCAGCCUUAAAAAUCAAACAGGGAAAAAAAUGAUGCCUUUGAGAAUCUUAUUAUCGCACACCCUUCACUACACAUCCCUUACAGCUGUGAUCAUUCAGAUCUCCAGAAAGACUCCAUAGUCACUUGAGGGGUGCAGAGCAGAUCACAGGGGUAUUUUAGUCUAGCACAAAGGCUAGACAGCCUGGCGAACAUGAUACACUUUUGGCUAAGCUCCCUAGAGCAUGAAGAGGACCGGCCAGGAGGAAAUGGGGUAAGAAAACAAAGCAAACUUACAUGCUUUUCCUUGCUGCUGACUUAUAACCAGCCUAAGGGGUGGGGUGGGAGGAUGUGAAUGGGUCUUUGGCAGGACACAGACAACACAGCCCUGCUCAUGAUUUUGGGAUCUGGGGAAAGCAUCUCUGCACCUCGGAUUCCGCAUUGGCAAGUUGAGGAGGUUGGACUUGAUGAUGCCCAGUGGCUCAACACUGAUUCUGUAUCUGUAGAUUUUGCCCACCUAAUAUACAGUCCUCCCCCUUUUUGGUAAGAGAUCCCUUUCCUUUUGUCAGCUCAUGUAGUCAGAUGGGCUGACGGCAACCUUGAUUUCAUGGGGGGGGCACGUAACCCAGGCCUGGGUAGUAGAGGACUCAGAUCCUCACGGGUGAUGCAGUGCUGUAGGCACAGGCACAAGGGCCUGACCUGGGCAGGGUAUUCCAUUUCCUUUAGCCACUAUGUUGCACAUACGGGCAUAGGACCUAGAUGGUCCAGCAAGUCUUCAUUCUGGGACUUUUUUUCUUAAACAGCUGUAGGUACAGCCUAUGGAAGUUCCUGGGCCAAGGGUCAAAUCGGAGUUGCAGCAUCUGGCCUACGGCAGCCACAGCAAUACAGAUCCGAGCCACAUCUGUGACCUAUGCUGCAGCUUGUGGCAAUGCCAGAUCCUUAACCCACUAAACGAGGCCAGGGACUGAACCCACAUCCUCACGGAGACUAUGUUGGGUUCCGAACCUGCUGAGCCACCAGAGAAACUCCCGUUCUGGGACUUUUAACUGUUCAGGAAGAGAAUAUCUAUGCCUGGGAGGGUUGCUGAAUAGGGCAGACUGUGAUUCAGGAGCUCCUGGCAUCCAUCCUGCCACUCUCAGGGGAAAGCUUACUUGAUAAUGGAGCUGACACUGAAGAAAAUAGAGCCAAGGGACAGGGAGAGAGACUGUGGGUCCUGAUGACAUUCGGAGCCCCUGGAUAGAGCUAUAGCUGCAAGCAGUUACCUGUGUAUUUAAUUAGAAGAGCCAAUAAAUUCCACUCCUCAUUCAUUCAUUCAACUUAAGGUAGUCUGAGUUGUGGUCUCUAUCAACUAUGACCAGAGGGGGUCUGACUGAGAGAGAAGUUCUGCUGUUCCUUGAAAUAACAAUUAUAAGAAGCCAGAAAAAAAAAAAAAAAAAAAAAAA
rnacentral:lncRNA from 1 species